rnacentral:rRNA from 1 species
AUUGAACGCUGGCGGCAGGCCUAACACAUGCAAGUCGAGCGGAUGACGGGAGCUUGCUCCUUGAUUCAGCGGCGGACGGGUGAGUAAUGCCUAGGAAUCUGCCUGGUAGUGGGGGACAACGUUUCGAAAGGAACGCUAAUACCGCAUACGUCCUACGGGAGAAAGCAGGGGACCUUCGGGCCUUGCGCUAUCAGAUGAGCCUAGGUCGGAUUAGCUAGUUGGUGGGGUAAUGGCUCACCAGGGCGACGAUCCGUAACUGGUCUGAGAGGAUGAGCAGUCACACUGGAACUGAGACACGGUCCAGACUCCUACGGGAGGCAGCAGGGGGGAAUAUUGGACAAUGGGCGAAAGCCUGAUCCAGCCAUGCCGCGUGUGUGAAGAAGGUCUUCGGAUUGUAAAGCACUUUAAGUUGGGAGGAAGGGCAGUAAGUUAAUACCUUGCUGUUUUGACGUUACCGACAGAAUAAGCACCGGCUAACUCUGUGCCAGCCGCCGCCGUAACAC